rnacentral:rRNA from 1 species
UACGUAGGGACCAAGCGUUGUUCGGAUUUACUGGGCGUAAAGGGCGCGUAGGCGGCAAUUCAAGUAAUCUGUGAAAUCUCCGGGCUUAACUCGGAACGGUCAGAUGAUACUGCUUUGCUCGAGUGCGGAAGGGGCAAUCGGAAUUCUUGGUGUAGCGGUGAAAUGCGUAGAUAUCAAGAGGAACACCUGAGGUGAAGACGGGUUGCUGGGCCGACACUGACGCUGAAGCGCGAAAGCCAGGGGAGCAAACGGG